UGAACGCUAGCGGCAGGCUUAACACAUGCAAGUCGAGGGGUAUGCCGAUUUAUCGGCAGAGACCGGCGCACGGGUGCGUAACGCGUAUGUAAUCUACCUUUCACAGAGGGAUAGCCCAGAGAAAUUUGGAUUAAUACCUCAUAGUAUUAUGAAAUGGCAUCAUUUUAUAAUUAAAGUCACAACGGUGAAAGAUGAGCAUGCGUCCCAUUAGCUAGUUGGUAAGGUAACGGCUUACCAAGGCAACGAUGGGUAGGGGUCCUGAGAGGGAGAUCCCCCCACACUGGUACUGAGACACGGACCAGACUCCUACGGGAGGCAGCAGUGAGGAAUAUUGGACAAUGGGCGCAAGCCUGAUCCAGCCAUGCCGCGUGCAGGAUGACGGUCCUAUGGAUUGUAAACUGCUUUUGCACAGGAAGAAACAUCCCGACGUGUCGGGACUUGACGGUACUGUGAGAAUAAGGAUCGGCUAACUCCGUGCCA
rnacentral:rRNA from 1 species